GAUUAUGGCUCAGAACGAACGCUGGCGGCGCGUCUUAAGCAUGCAAGUCGAACGGCAAGAGGUAGCAAUACCUCCUAGAGUGGCGGACUGGUGAGUAACACGUGGGUGACAUACCCUUCAGAUGGGGAUAGCUAUUAGAAAUAGUAGAUAAUACCGAAUACGAGCACAGGGGUUAGAGAUCUGUGAGGAAAGGAGCUAAGGCUCCGCUGAAGGAAUGGCCUGCGGCCCAUUAGCUAGUUGGUGAGGUAAGAGCCCACCAAGGCGAUGAUGGGUAUCCGGCCUUAGAGGGUGAACGGACACAUUGGGACUGAGAUACGGCCCAGACUCCUACGGGAGGCAGCAGCUAAGAAUAUUCCGCAAUGGACGAAAGUCUGACGGAGCGACGCCGCCGUGGAUGAAGAAGGCCGGAAGGUUGUAAAAUCCUUUUGAAACUGAAGAAUAAGCGUUGUAGGGAAUGACAGCGUGGUGACAGUAGGUUUUGAAUAAGCAACGGCUAAUUACGUGCCAGCCGCGGC
rnacentral:rRNA from 1 species